AACGCAAAUUGCACUGUUGGGUCCUCCCAGCAGUAUGUCUGUUUGAGUGUCAGCACUUUCCUUAAUAAUCAUCGCUAUUUUAUUAAAUGGUGGAUUGAAUAUUGACACUUUAUGAAUUCAUCAUCAUCAUCAUAAUGUGUUUAAGUAAAUUGGCAUUUUUCUUUUUUUGGAAGUGCAUUAUUUUUGACAGAACAUAUGUAAUAGAUUAACCAUUGUUUACAUGCAUUAUUUUAAGCAAUAGCAAGGUUUUCUAUUUAUUUUCAUGUUAUUAAUCAUGUACAAUAACAAUCCAAAAAAAGAACAGUCAUCAACACUUUAAAACCUCAUAAAAAUUUUAACAUCUUGACCUCAAAUUAGGCAAGGCUACCCGCUGAAUUUAA
rnacentral:misc_RNA from 1 species